UAGGUGUAAAAGCUCCACUUCAAAAAAGAGCACAGCACUGCCAGGUACACCCCGGGCUGAAAGCAUAUCAAGUCAACAGCAAAGAGGCACUGAAGCACUGUUUCCUCUCCCAUGAACAUCCUGCUUAGCUUUUCAUCCAGUUUGGUUUUGGAGAUUAUACCAAGCACUGCAAACAAGCUUUCAACUGUAGUUUUGUGGCCUUGGAAGCUAGAAAGUUGCUAAGAAAAACCUGAGGAUACGGAAUCCUACAUCCAUUAUCCACUGUCUUGUCUGGACUUUGUUAGCCCAAGGAAUUGCCCACAGCCUUACCACCACUUUCACCAUGCCCCAAAUGUGGAGGAACGAUGACAGUCCGUUUCUCUCCCACGCACAUGUUGAGCAGGCCAGUGUUGAGACCAUCAAUGAUCUUGUUGGAACCCAGAGUGGCUUCUUGGGGAUGGUCAUAGUCAUGGCUGUUAAUGGGGAACAGAAACUGUUGUAGUACUCCUGAGAAUGCCUGGCAGAAGCCCCAGGACUGUGUGUUUUGACUCCAGCUGGCUCCCCUUGACUUUAUUCCUAAAAUUCUGCACUAAGAAAAGCUAAUUUUGCUUUUCUUUGUAUAAAUUAUACAAAUUACCAUAG